GGUAAGAAAAGACAUAUGUCUUUAUAAUCAAGGCUACAACUCGACACCUAUUUCGGCCACCUUACC
rnacentral:tRNA from 1 species